AUUGAACGCUGGCGGCAUGCCUUACACAUGCAAGUCGAACGGCAGCACGGGAGCAAUCCUGGUGGCGAGUGGCGAACGGGUGAGUAAAGCAUCGGAACGUGCCCAGUCGUGGGGGAUAACGUAGCGAAAGCUACGCUAAUACCGCAUACGAUCUGUGGAUGAAAGCGGGGGACCGUAAGGCCUCGCGCGAUUGGAGCGGCCGAUGUCAGAUUAGGUAGUUGGUGAGGUAAAGGCUCACCAAGCCGACGAUCUGUAGCUGGUCUGAGAGGACGACCAGCCACACUGGGACUGAGACACGGCCCAGACUCCUACGGGAGGCAGCAGUGGGGAAUUUUGGACAAUGGGCGCAAGCCUGAUCCAGCAAUGCCGCGUGCAGGAUGAAGGCCUUCGGGUUGUAAACUGCUUUUGUACGGAGCGAAACGGCUUCCACUAAUACUGGGGGCUAAUGACGGUACCGUAAGAAUAAGCACCGGCUAACUACGUGCCAGCCGCCGUAAGAC
rnacentral:rRNA from 1 species